UACGGGGGGGUCAAGCGUUGUUCGGAAUUACUGGGCGUAAAGGGCUCGUAGGCGGCCAACUAAGUCGGACGUGAAAUCCCCAGGCUCAACCUGGGAACUGCGUCCGAUACUGGAUGGCUUGAAUCCGGGAGAGGGAUGCAGAAUUCCAGGUGUAGCGGUGAAAUGCGUAGAUAUCUGGAGGAAUACCGGUGGCGAAGGCGGCAUCCUGGACCGGCAUUGACGCUGAGGAGCGAAAGCCAGGGGAGCAAACGGG
rnacentral:rRNA from 1 species